AUAUAUUGGAUUAUUACUUAGCAUUUCAAUUCUAAAAACUGUUCUAAAAAAGGAAAUUUCAAUCAUGAUAUUUUGUUUUGACGGUCAUCCUGCAGCCUAGAAUCUUACUAUAGUAUUUUCAGAGUUGUUUGUUAUGUUUCACUAUAUGAGGUUGAUAACUAUGAUUGAAAGUUUGAUCUAAUUUUUUCUUCAUAGGCUUCAUCAAAUAUUGAGUAUUCUUUCUACCUCUUUUCUGCAUUUGCUUAUUAAGGGAAAUACAGGAAAAAAAUGAUUUUUUCCUUUCUUAAUUUUCAACAACCAAAUAAUUAUGAAGAUGCAACAAAAUCUUUUUCAGAUUGUUAAACAAAGACACCACUGUGUAAGCGUUCCAUUCAUUCAAUUAUUUUCUUUUCUUCUCAUUUUGCCCUUUUUAUUAUCACUGCUCUAUUUUCCCCCUUUUUGUCUUUAAUAAUUACUUUAGUUAUUCUGCAUUCAUUUUAUUAUCUCUUCCUCUCUUUCUACAUUUGUUUAUUAAGGGAAAUACAGGUAGAAAAAAUGAAUGAUUUUUUUCCAUUUUAAAUUUUCAACAGGCGAAUAAUUGAGUUAUUGGGAUUUAAUUUUAAAGGUAAUUAUGAAGAUUCAAGAAAAUCUUUUUUUUCCACUGCUAAGAUACAAUUGGAGAAGAGGGGAGCAGAACAAUCUGCAGGAGCAUUAUAUUUUGGUUCCUUUUUAAAUUUUCAGCAGGCAAAUAAUUGAGUUAUUGGGAUUUAAUUUUAAAGGUAAUUAUGAAGAUUCAAGAAAAUCUUUUUUUCCACUGCUGAGAUACAAUUGGAGAAGAGGAGAGCAGAACAAUAUGCGGGAGCAUUAUAUUUUGGUUAUUGUUCUUGGCAGUAGAACAUUCAACAUAUUUUUGUUAUUUAGAUUUAUAUUGUGCAGAGACCAACUAUUGUAUCUUUACCUUCUCUUCGUUUACCCUUUGUUACCGUCCGCAAACAUAUACACAAGAAAUUUUAGAAUAAGUCUAAUUUUUCACUUCAAUUAUUAUUAUUAUUAUUAUUAUUAUUAUUAUUAUUUUAGAUGACCUGCAAUUGAGAAUUCCUAUUGUGCCAUCAUUUUACAUCCAUCACAGUAAUUAAUUAAUUAUAAAUAUUAAUUUUCUUCAUAAUUCACUUGUGAAUAAUUUAAUUUUAAGUCUAUAUUGUAAUUAAAAAAAGCUUGCAAAAUAACUUAACAAUACAUUUCAUACCACCAUUAGAGCGGCAAACUUGUGGCAGACAGAGGCAUCCAUCCAGAAAGCACAUCUGGACUCUUCAACUUACUCAGGAAAUGUUGGAUGCUCCUGAACCCCUGAAACUCCCCCGUUGUACAGAAGUUCCUCUUAAAGCUUGCGGUAACGACAUGACUCAGGAAAUGUUGGAUGCUCCUGAACCCCUGAAACUCCCUCGUUGUACAGAAGUUCCUCUUAAAGCUUGCGGUAACCACAUGACAGUCUUAAGACGACAUGGUCCCCCCACUGCAAUGGAAAGUUGAAACCCAGAAUCCUGCUAUUGGUGGAAAAGGUGUUGUCCAACCAUGGUACGAUUUUCUUGAAGAAAUGGAUUUUGAUGAUGGAGAUGAAAUAUCUAUGAAAAAAUUUGGGAUAUCAUAAUUAGGAGGCAGGAGACUAGACUACCUUUAGUUCCAACAAACUCUGUUAAUGUUUACUUAUCCUAUUUUGUUGUUAAUCAAUUUCUUAUCAUUCAACAUUUUGCUGUUAA